UACAGAGGUGGCAAGCGUUGUUCGGAAUUACUGGGCGUAAAGGGCGCGUAGGCGGCCUUGUAAGUCCUGUGUGAAAUCCCCCGGCUCAACUGGGGAACUGCACAGGAGACUGCUUGGCUUGAGUUCGGGAGAGGGAAGCGGAAUUCCGGGUGUAGCGGUGAGAUGCGUAGAUAUCCGGAGGAACACCGGUGGCGAAGGCGGCUUCCUGGACCGACACUGACGCUGAGGCGCGAAAGCCAGGGGAGCAAACGGG
rnacentral:rRNA from 1 species